rnacentral:lncRNA from 1 species
AAGAGAACUACAAGCACUGAAUUAUAGUUCCAGAGGCUGAAAUUCUUGGUGUAGGGUUGAGAAAAAUUGUUAUCUCUAUUGCUUUCCUCAUGCCCAUCUUGACAGAGGACCAGCUCAAUGGGAGGAUUCCUUCUGGGGUUCAGGAGCCCUGAGAACUGAGAGGACUGCCAAGGAAGGAAUAUGUCCGACAUAGUCUGACUGUUUACUAUGUGCUUCCCACAACUUUUGCUGCCUUGGACCCAGUUCUGACUUGGCUGUUUGAGGGGAAGCAGUUGGUGAGUCAAGCAGACACUGUCAGCUGACUUAAUUGGCACCAGAGCUUCACCAACGUGAAGACGGACUCCUUGUGGAGGCACCAGCUGCCCUGCAGAGGUGGAGGAACUGAUGCUGUUGCCUUGUAAUGCUUGUUCUGAUGCCUGCUGCCACAUGUUCAAUCCCUAUCAUCACCUUCAGUGCCUGUGUCAAACAUGACCUCCUCCAGGUAGCCUCUCAGACUCUUGGGUUAGAAGUCUUUCCCCUCUGAACUCCCAUGGCAUUUUAUCUGUUCUUCUUCUACAAAACUUACUGCUGGCUACUUUCCGUUAGAGGUCUCUGUGCUCACAUCUUAUUCCUUUAUUAGACUGUAAGCUCCCUGUGGGCAGAAACUAGGUCUUAAUCAUACUGUGUCCUUAGAUCCUGGCAUAAUGUCAGUAGGUAAAUAUGUGUGGACCUGAAUUGAAUCAGCUGGUCAUCUGAUUUUAUAAACAAGAGGGGAAAUCUGGAUCGUAUAUGUAUGAUCUAUUUGAAACCACAGGUUCAUGGAAAUCUAACAGGUCUUUGGAAAUUAUCUAGAGGCCUCCUCAUUUUAUCGUUGUGAAACUGAAGCAUAGACUUCAAUGCCUUCUCAUGGUCACGUGUCUGGAGAAUCAUAUCUUGCACUUGGACUCAGGUUCCUGGACCUCCAUCCCAGGUGUCCUGCCCUGACAAAUGAGUGAGCGAGUGAGUGAGCAGACACGCCUUGGAAAGGGCCAGUAGGUCAUUCCCAGAACCACAGCUGGCUUUGGGAGUCAGCUUGCCCCUCACUCACUCACCCAGGAUGAUUUUGAAGUCAGAAGGGCUGAGCAAGUCUGAAUCACGUAGGGUCGGAUCUUCCGGAUCGAGUGACUGGUGGAGGCAGUGUGCGGCGGUCACGAUCCAGCUGGAGCCUGGGGAACAGAACACACGUCUCAUCGUCCUGCACUACUGGGUCUUGCCUCCCUCUGUCUUGAGCUGAGGAUCUUCAGGCUACUCCAGAGGACCCCUCAAGACCUUGAAAAUGGCCAUGCUUCUCUCCAUUGUAUUUUAUGGCCCCCAACUCAAAUGCUCAUAUGAUCCUAAUCUGAAGAUGAGGAUUUAAAUCUGUGAUUUUUACCUGCCUAUUCCAACCAAGGCCAGGACUGAACAUUGUAAACAGGAUUUCAGGGAUCCUUUAAGCCCAUGGCAUUGGUGAGAGCCAGAGAGCCCAAGGUGGGUGCACAGAAAGCCUGUGGUCAACUGGCUGCCUUCUCAGGCCUUGCUUCUCAAAGUGUGGUGCCUGGACCAGCAACAUUAGCAUCACUUGGAGGCUUCUUAGAAAUGAAGACUCUUAGGCCGGCCCCACCUCUGAUCCACUGAAUCAGAAUUUUCAUUUUAACAAGACUCUCCAGUAAUUUGUAUGCAUAUUAAAGUUUAAAAUUGAUGAAUCCGAAGCUACCUACACUGGCUGCACGUUAGAAUUACCUGGUGAAUGAAAAAAGAGUAAAUCAGUGUCUGGACCUAUAUCUAGACCAUUUAUGUCAUGGGGGUGGAGCCCAAGCACAGAUAAUGUUUUAAACAUUUCCUUAGUUAAUUCUACUGCU